rfam:Gossypium raimondii scaffold_671_contig_2, whole genome shotgun sequence.
GGGUGCGAUCACACCAGCAGUAAUGCACCGGAUCCCAUUCAAACGCCGCAGUUAAGCGUGCUUGGGCGAGAGGAUUACUAGGGUGGGCGACCUCCUGGGAAGUCCUCCUGGACCCUCCUA